rnacentral:misc_RNA from 1 species
AAGUCGUAACAAGGUUUCCGUAGGUGAACCUGCGGAAGGAUCAUUAUCACAAAUGAUUUUUAACUCUCUUAAUCCAGAGUUAAACCUCUUCUUAAACCAAUCUAAUUAAAAUGUGAAAUCGUUUUAUUUUUUUUUUAAGAACUUGGCAACAAGCCUUAAAAAAAAAAUUAUUAACCAAUUGAACCCUUUUCUAAUUAAUGUUAUUUUAUUUCUAUUUAGUUCUGAAAUACUAUUAUGCUGCUCUUCAUUGAGUAAUAUAAUAAGAUUACAUUACGAAACAAUAAAAAUAAAACAACUCUUAGCAACGGAUAUCUUGGUUCUC